UAGGGAAUCUUCCACAAUGGACGAAAGUCUGAUGGAGCAACGCCGCGUGAGUGAAGAAGGGUUUCGGCUCGUAAAGCUCUGUUGGUAGUGAAGAAAGAUAGAGGUAGUAACUGGCCUUUAUUUGACGGUAAUUACUUAGAAAGUCACGGCUAACUACGUGCCAGCAGCGCGGUAAUAGUAGUGU
rnacentral:rRNA from 1 species